rnacentral:lncRNA from 1 species
CGGGGCUGUGAUACAUGCAUGCAUAUCUAAAUUUUUUUAAAUUAAUUAUAUAUUAUAUAUAAUUAAAAUUUUAUUUUAAAUAUUAAAUUUAAUUUAAAUUUAUUUAUAUAAAAUUUUUGAUCUAAUUUUGAUUGGAUUUGAUAAGCCUAAUCAAUGGUUGAUUGAGGUUGUUAUAAUAGAAUUUUACUGUCACUAAAUUUUUGAUGGAAUAAUAAUAUGAAUUAAAA